UACGUAGGGGCAAGCGUUGUCCGGAUUUAUUGGGCGUAAAGAGCGUGUAGGCGGCCAGACAGGUCCGUUGUGAAACUGGAGGCUACAACCUCCAGACGUCGAUGGAAACCGUCUGGCUAGAGUCCGGAAGAGGAGAGUGGAAUUCCGUGGUGUAGCGGUGAAAUGCGCAGAGUAUCAGGAAGAACACCCGUGGCGAAAGCGGCUCCUCUGGGACGGUACUGACGCUGAGACGCGAAAGCGUGGGGAGCGAACAGG
rnacentral:rRNA from 1 species